rnacentral:rRNA from 1 species
AUUGAACGCUGGCGGCAGGCUUAACACAUGCAAGUCGAGCGAGCGGCGGACGUGUGAGUAAGGUCUGGGAAAGUGCCUGAGGGAGGGGGAUAACUACGGGAAACGGUAGCUAAAAACGCCUACCAUCAGAUGUGCCGAGAUGGGAUUAGCUAGUGGGUGGGGUAAUGGCUCACCUAGGCGCCGAUCCCUAGCUGGUCUGAGAGGAUGACCAGCCACACUGGAACUGAGACACGGUCCAGACGCCUACGGGAGGCAGCAGUGGGGAAUAUGGGACAAUGGGCGAAAGCCUGAUGCAGCCAGGCCGCGGGUGUGAAGAAGGCCUGCGGAUUGUAAAGCACUUUCAGCGAGGAGGCGUUACUCGCAGAAUAAGCACCGGCUAACUCCGUGCCAGCAGCCGCGGUAAUAC